rnacentral:rRNA from 1 species
UACGUAGGGUGCGAGCGUUGUCCGGAAUUAUUGGGCGUAAAGGGCUCGUAGGCGGUUUGUCGCGUCGGGAGUGAAAUCCACUGGCUUAACUGGUGGCUUGCUUUCGAUACGGGCAGACUGGAGGUAUGCAGGGGAGAACGGAAUUCCUGGUGUAGCGGUGAAAUGCGCAGAUAUCAGGAGGAACACCAGUGGCGAAGGCGGUUCUCUGGGCAUGUCCUGACGCUAAGGAGCGAAAGUGUGGGGAGCGAACAGG